UUUUAAAUGCUAGUGUGGCCUAGACCUACUCUUUCUGUAAAUUAUCCUGAGAUAACUUCUGUUAUGAUUUGACACUAUAAAUAAAAUUGACUUAAAAUGAA